rnacentral:rRNA from 1 species
GUGUCAGCAGCCGCGGUAAUACGGGGGGAGCAAGCGUUGUUCGGAAUCACUGGGCGUAAAGGGCGUGUAGGCGGUUCGGUAAGUGGGAUGUGAAAUGCCCCGGCUCACCCGGGGACCUGCAUCCCAAACUGCUGAGCUUGAGUACAGGAGAGGGUGGGGGAAUUCCAGGUGUAGCGGUGAAAUGCGUAGAUAUCUGGAGGAACACCGGUGGCGAAGGCGCCCACCUGGCCUGCUACUGACGCUGAGGCGCGAAAGCUAGGGGAGCAAACGGGAUUAGAUACCCCCGUAGUCC